rnacentral:rRNA from 1 species
UAGGGAAUCUUCGGCAAUGGACGAAAGUCUGACCGAGCAACGCCGCGUGAGUGAAGAAGGUUUUCGGAUCGUAAAACUCUGUUGUUAGAGAAGAACAAGGACGUUAGUAACUGAACGUCCCCUGACGGUAUCUAACCAGAAAGCCACGGCUAACUACGUGCCAGCAGCCGCGGUAAUACGUAGGUGGCAAGCGUUGUCCGGAUUUAUUGGGCGUAAAGCGAGCGCAGGCGGUUUCUUAAGUCUGAUGUGAAAGCCCCCGGCUCAACCGGGGAGGGUCAUUGGAAACUGGGAGACUUGAGUGCAGAAGAGGAGAGUAGAAUUCCAUGUGUAGCGGGGAAAUGCGUAGAUAUAUGGAGGAACACCAGUGGCGAAGGCGGCUCUCUGGUCUGUAACUGACGCUGAGGCUCGAAAGCGUGGGGAGCAAACAGG